rnacentral:tRNA from 2 species
GGUCCUAUAGUCUAAUUGGAUAGGACGACCGCCCCCUAAGCGGUCGAUCUCGGUCCGAAUCCGAGUAGGACCA